AUGAAGGAAUAUUUCCUUUUUCUAGAACCCAUUGCGAGCCGUCUCGCCUCUUGUUGUAUUACUGUAUCUGCUUGGAUUUGUUCUUUUUGUGCUCCUUUUUACGGCUUGAAACUGCGGUGUGCUACGUCUCAGCUAGAGAAGAACCGGAGUAUAAACAGUGGCAUAAAACUGUGUCAUAAUGAAUGCUCCAUUGCAAUCAGCUUCAAUUUGCUAGCUAUGGCCUACAGAGUCUUCUCCCGGAAUAGGAAAACUUUCACCCGCAAAAGAAAAAACGAAAUUGGAAAACUUUGCAAAGGGAAAAAAGACGCUACAGAGUCAAAACAAAAGCAGAAUCGGCUACUAGCUCCAGAGCGCGAACUCAGUUGCCCCCUCGGCCUCGCCGCACUCUCCGUUAUCCCAGUACGCGCCGGUGCCAGUCGCCACCGGAGGCGGGUCCAUGAGCAGCGCCUCCGCGAGGCUCGCGUAGUACGAGCCCAAGUCCAUUUCCGGGAACAAGUCAAGCCUACUGAACAUUUCGAUGUCCAUUCCGCCCGGCACCGCGAAGUCUCCAUCGGCGGAAGGUUUCGACGUCUCCGACGAACCGGCAUCGUCAGACUCAGACGACGAUUCUGCAGGAGCGCCACAGGAGGCCUCCUCGGCGGCGGUGGCGGUGGCGGUGGCGGUGAUGGACCCACCGGCAGCCUCCCGUCGCUGCAAAUCCGCGACGGCCUCGACCGCCGCGCGCCGGACGUCGGCGAGAUCGGAGUGCGCGGACGGCACAGCGAGCAGCCACGCGGAGUCCGGGAAGUUGAGGAGCGCGGCGGAGCGGCCGCCCAGGGCGAGCAUGGCGGCGUCGUUGGCGCGCGCUGCAAUCUCGGCCGUGGCGUAAGUCCCGAGCCAGAGCCGAGCGCCGCGCUUGCCAGGGACGCGCACCUCGCAGACCCACCGUUGGGCGUUGCCCCGGCGCCGCACGCCACGAUACACAGGGUGCCGCGUCUCGCGGAACUUGGUGCGCCCCGCGGGGCGCUUGGCCAGCGACGAGGAGGAUGGGGAGGAGCUCGAGACCUCAAGGCCCAUGUCCAUGGCUACCGGCAGAGUGCUGGGUGA
rnacentral:rRNA from 1 species